AACCCACUUGUAAACAACAAAACACCAAACCAUCGACAAAAACAAAGAAAACAGAUUAGAAUUAACAAUUUCGCAUUUUUAUUCAUGGUUUUUGAGACAAAUGUGCGAUUUUUUUUUUCGUUUUUUUUUCUCUCUCUCUCUCU
rnacentral:ribozyme from 1 species